UACGUAGGGUGCAAGCGUUAAUCGGAAUUACUGGGCGUAAAGCGUGCGCAGGCGGUUUUGUAAGUCUGUCGUGAAAUCCCCAGGCUUAACCUGGGAACUGCAUCCGAUACUGGAUGGCUUGAAUCCGGGAGAGGGAUGCGGAAUUCCAGGUGUAGCGGUGAAAUGCGUAGAUAUCUGGAGGAACACCGGUGGCGAAGGCGGCAUCCUGGACCGGCAUUGACGCUGAGGAGCGAAAGCCAGGGGAGCAAACGGG
rnacentral:rRNA from 1 species